rnacentral:lncRNA from 1 species
AGUCAAAGAAAAGUACAAUGACCUGAAACCAGAACAUAGAACAAUAAACAGUAUAUAAAUGCAAAACAGGGUGGCCUAAAAGGCAAAUGAUAAUAUAAGGAUUGGGAUCUCAAGUGUAAAAUUCAAUCUUCUACAAAGUAGAAGGAUAUGGAUCUGAGUACUCAAUUUAAAUCUUAGAUGUUAGAAUGGAUCUAACAUAGUCCCAGGUCAGCAACAGCUCUUGGUAAUGGGCAGAAUCAAAUGGAAAUUCAUCCUGAACAAAGUUUUUCCAAUGAAACCUUUUAAAUAUAUAAGGAUGAACUCUUAUCAAAAUAUGAUAUCUCCAAAAAUUAUAAAAAGUGGAAAUAAGCCACAAUGAAUUAGAAAUAACAAAAUCAAUCUUAAAAAUAUAUUCAAUUGGAAAUAGAUUUAAAAAACAAUUGUUUGAAAAAUUAAAGAAAUUAAAUGUGAAAAAAAUUGUGAAAGGAAAAAGAGAUUUACCAAAGAUGCCAAACUGAUGUGGUAAAAGCUCUAAAUAGAAAUUUUAUAAAUGAAGAAUAAAUUUGUUGAAAUUAUACUUGAUUGAUCACCUAAACAGCAGACUAAAAACUGAUAAAAGGAUACUAGUAAACUGGAAAGUAUAUUUAAGAAAAUUGUCUUAAGAAAAAUAUGGUAUAAAAGUUCAAAUUGUGAAGGUUAGACUAAGAAUAUGUAGCUUAGAUCUAGUAAGCUUUCGAGACUUAGAACUAUAAAAAAUGAAAAAUGUAGUAUUUGCUGGAAAAUGACUGAGAAAUUUCCAGAAUUGAUAAAAUGAAUUAAUAAAUAUAGAAGGCACAAUAUAUCAAAAGUGAAAUAUAAAGAAAAUUGCAAAUAGAUAAUUAUAGUAAAGCUUUAGUGCUUUAGCAACAAAGAAAAGUUCUUAACAGAAAUAAAAGAUUGAAAAAAUCUACAAAGUAAUAACAAUUUGAUCUAUAACCAAGUUGUCAAAACUGAUAAAGGAAGUUAAAAAAGAGAAUGAUACUCUUAUAUUACUAAAAAGAAAAAAUAGUCAAUCCAGUAUUAGCUAUCUAGAAAAUCUAUUUCAUGCUUGAAUGUAAAAUAAAGAUAUUUAUGUGCAAUGAGAGAAAAGGAAAUGAUUAUUAAGAGACAAUUUUUAAGUAAAUUUCUAAAAUUCGUGCUGCAUGAAAAAUCAAAAUGAACCUGGAAAUAAUUUUGAUGUAAAGGAAAAACUCUGAACAAUAAACUAAGCAAUUCUGAACAGUAUGCCUCUAUAGAACAAAUAAAAUAUUAUCAGUUUAUUAGGUUAAAACAAGAAAUGAUGUAUAAACUGGACAAAACAAUAUGUAAAUUAACAUGUAAAUGGAAGGACAUGCUUUUUCCGAAGAAUGCCUUUUACAUUGAAGUCACUUUCAUUCUUUUUUAAAAGUAUUUUACAGACAUAUAUUUCUUAAUAUUCCCUACUUUCAGGGAGUGAAAAAUGAGCAAGUCUCACAAUAGACAUGUAAAUUGGGAUGGAGAUAUUCUCCCUUCUUGUAUUUUCAGGAAAGCAUUAAAAUAUUGAUUUCAUACUUUGUGAAACAUAAAAAGUUAAACUAAAAAGUAAAUUAUUAAAAAGAAAAGGGAGGAAUAAUUGUGAAAUCAGUAGAACAAAACAGUUGAAUAUUUAAAAUAAAGAAAAAUACAAUAGAAAUAAUAGAAAUAAUAAUACAAAUAAAAAGCAUAAAUUAAGAAAAUAGGAAUAGAAAAUUUAUUAAUGAUUAUAUCACAUGUAAAAGGAAUAAAAAAACUCUUUAUAAACAGAAACAAACAAAAAAACUCCAGAUUUUACAAUUUAAAAAGACAUAAAGCAAAAGGGCACAGCCAGACUUAUUCAAAAGUAAAAAAAAUGAUAAUCUAUACACUAGUAAGAUGAUUUCCAAAAAAGAUUUUAAAAAGAUGAUUGCAAAAUAAAAGACAUUUUAAGAAAAAUCACAUCCUUCAAAACAUCAAAAGUUUCAAUACAAGAAAAAUAAUACCUAAUUUGCAUGUACCUGAUAAAAUAAUCUCAAAAUAUAUAAAACUAGAUCUCAUGGAACUACAAGAAGAAAUUGUUAAAUUCACCAUUAAUGUGGAAUAUUUAAAUACACUAUUCAAAAUUAUGAAUAAACUGCAAAAAUAUUAAACUGCUUUAGAAAAUACACAUUCUUAUUAAUUUCACUUUUUUUUACAAGAGUAAACAGCAUUUUAAGACAUUAAAAAAGUUUCACAUUUCAAUGAAAUGGUGUCAUGCAAACCAAAUCUUCUAACUGCAAUAAUAUCAAAUUAGAAAUCAUUAAAUAAGAAAAACAUAUUUGAAAAUUAAUAAUUAUAAGACUAAACAACGUGUAGGUUUUAAAAAACAAUAUAGAUCAGCUGCUUGAUAUAUUGGCCAUUUUGGUGACUUCCCAGAAAAGCCAGAAAGAAAUAAGUGGAAAAGAAUGAAUGAGUGCUGGGCCAGAGUAUAUAGCUCUGAGUAGGCCAGAGAAGGUCAAGAGAUCACCUGGAGCAAUGAGGUGACGUCAUGUUGUGGUGUCUAGGUGCACAUGGGUGUGUGUCUGUCCAGUGAGAAGGACAUAGAGGAUGGAGUUUCUCAUCAAGUGUUGAACUCUCAUUUUCCUCACCUUUAAAUCAGUUCCUCAUAUAAUGAUUUUCCUCUUGAUAAACAUUGUCAGCAUCACCCAUUCACGGAGGCUUCAAACCCUGGAAGCAUUUUGACUCCUCUCUUGUUUUCACACCCCACAUUCGAUCCAUCAGUCAACCUGUUAACACCCCCUUCUAAAUGUAGACAGAGUCUGAUAAUUCUCACAACUACCCUAUUAGCGCAAAGCAAUAUGAUCUGUUGCCUGGACCACUGUAGCCCCAUUCUAAUUAGUCUCUCUGCUCACACAGUCUUUACAUACACCAGGUAUGAACAAAUUUUUUUUUUUUUCCUUAGGCAAGGUCUUGCUCUGUCACAAGCUGGAAUGCAGUGGUGUAAUCAUGACUCACUGCAGACUCUACCUCCAGGGUUCAAGCUAUCUUCCUGCCUCAGGCUCCGAAGUAGUGGGGACUACUGGUGUAUGCCACCAUGCCUAGCUAAUUUUUUGAAGAGAUGGACUGUGUUACCCAGGCUGGUCUCAAACUCCUGCCUUCAAGCAAUACUCUUGCCUUGGUAUCCCAAAUUCCUGGGAUUACAGGAGUGAGCCACUGUGCCCAACCUGAACAAAUCUUCUUUUAAAGGAAAGAGAUACUUUUCAUAGAUAAGGUCACACUCUUUUUUUUUUUUUUUGAGAUGGAGUCUCGCUCUGUCGCCCUGGCUGUUGUGCAGUGGCGCGAUCUCGGCUCGCUGCAAGCUCCGCCUCCCAGGUUCACACCACUCUCCUGCCUCCCGAGUAGCUGGGACUACAGGCGCCCACCACCACGCCCAGCUAAUUGUUUGUAUUUUUAGUAGAGACGGGGUUUCACCGUGUUAUCCAGGAUGGUCUCGAUCUCGUGACCUCGUGAACCGCCCACCUCGGCCCCCCAGGUGGCUCACGCCUGUAAUCUCCUCGGCUGGGAUUACAGGCAUGAGCCACCACGCUCAGCCAAGGUCAGACUCUUUUAAUGACUUCUCAUCACACUUCAAUCUCUUCUAUACUCAAUCUACUCUAGUCAUACUGGGCUCUCUGUUUUUUUGCAGGAACACCAGAUAUGAUUCAAGUCUUUGCAUUUGAAGUUCUCUUUGCCUGAAACACCCUUCACCAUAAUCGCUCUUUUGUUGGCUUUGAUGAAACAAGUUGCUAUGUUAGAGAGUCCCAUCUGGCAAGGAACUGAAGAUGUCCUCCAGUCAACAGACAGCAAGGAAUUAAGCCUUUUACAUCAACAAUCCUUGAAGAAAUGAAUCCUGCAAACAACACCUACGUGGGCUUGGAUCUGGAUCCUUCCCCAGUCAGUUCUUCAGAUGAGACUGAAGCACCAGUUGGUAUUUUAAUUGAAGCCUUGUGCGACACCCUGAAGCAAAAAACCCACAUAAGAAACCAACAGAAACUGAAAUAAUAGAUGUGUGUUGCUUUGAGCAACAAAGUUUUAGGGUAAUUUGUUAUGGAAAAAUAAAUAUUAUAAUGUGCAUGAAUAAACUUUUGUUAUUCAAACUAACCAUUAUAAUCAUUGUCUAUAAUGUAGUCUUAAAUGGGAGAGGCCUUUGAAUUGACUUACUUUGAAUAAUCUUUUGCUGACAUAUGUUUUCCAUGCUGGCAGAAUUAAUACUUAAUGUAUAGUAAUUCCUUUACUUGUAAUAGUCAUACACAUUUCCAAAUGACAUGCAUUUAUUGGAAUAUUUUGAAUCAAUAAAGUUAAUAUGAAGAAUAUUUGGGUUUAACUACUUGAUUGCUCUAUUUGAAAAAGUUAUUACAAUUUAAUGAAUCUCGUAUAUUUGCAUAGGAUUUUCAAUUCAGAUUUCUUUGUAAAAAAAUAUUGUAAAUGAAGUAAUCCUCUGACAAAUAAAUGUGG